UACGUAUGGGGCAAGCGUUGUUCGGAUUCAUUGGGCGUAAAGGGCACGCAGGCGGAUUUAAAAGUUGGGUGUUUAAUCCUCAGGCUUAACCUGAGACCGGCAUCCAAAACUUUAAAUCUAGAGUACCAGAGGGGAAAGCGGAAUUCUCGGUGUAGCGGUGGAAUGCGUAGAUAUCGAGAGGAACACCAGUGGCGAAGGCGGCUUUCUGGCUGGAUACUGACGCUCAGGUGCGAAAGCGUGGGGAGCAAACAGG
rnacentral:rRNA from 1 species